GUGCACCUUUACUAUAGUUAUAAAUUGUAAUAAAAUUUUUUUUGUGCAGAAUAUGUGGUAAGUUUUCAUUAAAUCGUAACAUAAGUUAUUUAUUUAAACAUCAAUGAGAUACCACUCUUAAAAACUUUUGUUACUCAUGAACUUAAAACAGUUUAUAAUGGGUAGUUUGACUGGGGCGGUCGCCUCCUAAAGAGUAACGGAGGCGUACGAAGGUAAGCUCAAAUUGAUAAAACUCAAUUGAAGAGCAUAAUAGUACAAUGCUUGCUUGACUGAAAGAUUGACAAAUCGAACAGGGACGAAAGUCGGUUAUAGUGAUCCGGUGACUCUGAGUGGAAAAGGUCAUCGCUCAACGGAUAAAAGGUAC
rnacentral:rRNA from 1 species